GCUUGAACUGCAGUGGAAGGAUACAGAGAUGUUGACGCCCUUCGGGGCCGCUGUGAAGGUGCUGCAUGGUUGUCGUCAGCUCGUGCCGUGGGGUGUCGGCUUAAGUGCCAUAACGAGCGCAACCCCUUUCGCCAGUUGCCAUCAGGUGAUGCUGGGCACUCCGGCGACACUGCCACCGCAAGGUGCGAGGAAGGUGGGGAUGACGUCAAAUCAGCACGGCCCUUACGUCCGGGGCUACACACGUGUUACAAUGGGUGAUACAGAGAGUCGGCCGCACGCAAGUUCGGUCCAAUCAAGAAAGUCAUCCUCAGUUCGGAUUGGGGUCUGCAACCCGACCCCAUGAAGCUGGAUUCGCUAGUAAUCGCGCAUCAGCCAUGGCGCGGUGAAUACGUUCCCGGGCCUUGUACACACCGCCCGUCAAGCCAUGAAAGCCGGGGGCGCUUGAAGUCCGUGACCGCAAGGAUCGGCCUAGAGCGAAACUGGUAAUUGGGGCU
rnacentral:rRNA from 1 species